GUAUCGAGCACUUCUUGCGGGAUAUCGCGUUACGGAACCACGAUCAAUCGUUUAAACCUAGUCUAUGACUAUAGAACGAAGGGUGCAAAUUGCAAAUCGUUGAGAAAGCUGCAUGAAACGCUGUUACUUAAUCUUUGAAAACAAGGAGCCUGAUGAUUUUAUACGGGAAUUUCUCAUGAAAUAUGUACACCCUAUUAUAAGAAACUCAUAAUAUUACAGAAUCCAUGAAAUCAUCGAAGAAUGAAGGAAUGAUAUACAAUGAAUUAAAACGUAAUUACAGUUAUAUGUAAUUGCGUUACACAAAUGUUAGCUGCAUGUUGAAGUUAUAAAAUAUAUGGAUAGGUAUAAUAAUUUUCAAAGCAAUCUUUGAAUGCAUCUUUCAGAGCAUCUUUCAGAGUCGGAGCGAAAAAUGUAGAAAUAAAUUUCUAGCAUAACGAAAAUAACGGUGUGAAAUCAAGAUAAGAAUUUGUAAUUAAUCAUCGAGCUUGAGGAAAUACUAAAGUUUAUUUCAUUUUUCUUCACUUAAUUUGUUCUUCUUUUCCAGUAACUUUACAGUUCUCAGUAUGUUACAAUAUAUUUCUACAGUGUUAAAUAUAUUAAUUAAAUCUUAAAAAUGAUGGAAAGUAAAUUGAUACUACUAUCAAUGUAAUGUUUUUUUUUUCGAUCGAAUAAGUCUUUCGAGAAAUUAUAUCCAGUUCAAUAUGUUCAACGAGUUAUUUCACAUAACCGAACAAGUCACAUCUAAUCAGUAUUCGUGAGAACACUCGUGUAAAAAUAAUGUAACUAAAUCAGUGCA